GCAAAGCCAUCCUGCUACCAGGUGAUUCUUCAAUCCCCCUCACAUAAUUCCUCACAUGGAUUCCUACAUGACCAUUAUAUCGUCGCCUUUCAUGAAACACCUUAUGGCAAAACUGGCAUUCAUAUUUUCCAUCUUUAACUAUUACACCAUCACCAACAGAAGAACCAAGUCUAUACCUCCUUGUAGUCCUUUGGUGAAAUGACAAAAGGUGCUGCAAAUAUGUGUCCUUUUCAUCAAAUGUCAUCUUACAUUUGUGGCAUUCAAAAAGGUCCUGUAUUUGAACCUCUGCCAACUCCAAAUUGUCAAUUCCCAGCAAGGCAACAGCCUUCUCAUGUUCACUAGCUUGCCUCUGAUCUUCAUCCUUCUUGGUCGCACCUCCAUAACUUUCAGAAGCUAGUCUGUGGACCUGCUGGAUACUGUCACCUGCAUGAUCCUUCACCUGUUGAGCAUCAUAUGGUCCAAAAAGUGAUUGCAAAUAUGCAGCAACUUCCUUACAGGAUAUAAAUUGUUGUCCACUGGGGCUUAUGUAUCUGCGGCAAUAAACCCAAGCACGGCCUUCUUUCCUUUUGAGCCCGAGUAGGAGCUUCCAACCGACAGGUAAGACGUCACCAAACUCGCCAGCAUCUACAAUCUUCCUCUUCCUUCUCCUGCUACACCACUGCCCUCCAAGGUCCCUGAAAAAUCCCAACAACUCCUCCUCUUUAUCCAUCCCUUCCGUCCUCCUCCUUAAUUCCUCCCUGAAUGGGUCCUCCAGACUCGCCAACCCCACCAAAUCCACCACAACUCCAUUUUUGUUCACAAUCUCCGCCCCCAUCGCCCUCUCUCUCCCCUCUGCACUUAUUACUUUCACUUUCGGCUUCCUUCCUCUUUUCCUCUUCCUUUCCCCAAUUCUAAAGUUCCCAUUUACCACAGGCGCUUCUACUACUGCUGCUAGUGGUGAUGGAUGAGAAUUGAAAUUUAUGGCAUCGUUAAGAUGGCUAAAACUAUCGAAAUCUACUAAAUCCAAUUGCUGGAAUUCGGGGUGGGUGGAAAG
rnacentral:misc_RNA from 1 species